rfam:Burkholderiales bacterium RIFCSPHIGHO2_12_FTLL_69_20 rifcsphigho2_12_scaffold_249, whole genome shotgun sequence.
CGGCCGGGCUGAACUGCCCGGUACGAGUGCACGCCCCGGUACCUGACACGGCCGGGGUUC